GAUGAACGCUGGCGGCGUGCCUAACACAUGCAAGUCGAGCGGUAUAUAUCUGAACAAAUCUUCGGAAGAGUGAUGAUAUAGAGAGCGGCGGACGGGUUAGUAACGCGUAGGCAACCUGCCCCAUACAGAGGGAUAGCCUCGGGAAACCGGGAUUAAAACCUCAUAAUGCGAAGAAGUCACAUGACUUUUUCGCCAAAGAUUUAUCGGUAUGGGAUGGGCCUGCGUCUGAUUAGCUAGUUGGUAAGGUAACGGCUUACCAAGGCAACGAUCAGUAGCCGACCUGAGAGGGUAAUCGGCCACAUUGGAACUGAGACACGGUCCAAACUCCUACGGGAGGCAGCAGUGGGGAAUAUUGCACAAUGGGCGAAAGCCUGAUGCAGCAACGCCGCGUGAGCGAUGAAGGCCUUUGGGUCGUAAAGCUCUGUCGGAAGGGAAGAAACAAAUGACGGUACCUUCUGAGGAAGCCCCGGCUAACUACGUGCCAGCAGCCGCAGUAA
rnacentral:rRNA from 1 species